rnacentral:rRNA from 1 species
GAAUGCUGACAUAAGUAACGAUAAAGCGGGUGAAAAGCCCGCUCGCCGGAAGACCAAGGGUUCCUGUCCAACGUUAAUCGGGGCAGGGUGAGUCGACCCCUAAGGCGAGGCCGAAAGGCGUAGUCGAUGGGAAACGGGUUAAUAUUCCCGUACUUGGUGUUACUGCGAAGGGGGGACGGAGAAGGCUAUGUUGGCCGGGCGACGGUUGUCCCGGUUUAAGCGUGUAGGUGUGUGUUCCAGGUAAAUCCGGUUCACUUUAACACUGAGGCGUGAUGACGAGGCACUACGGUGCUGAAGCAACAAAUGCCCUGCUUCCAGGAAAAGCCUCUAAGCAUCAGGUAACAUCAAAUCGUACCCCAAACCGACACAGGUGGUCAGGUAGAGAAUACCAAGGCGCUUGAGAGAACUCGGGUGAAGGAACUAGGCAAAAUGGUGCCGUAACUUCGGGAGAAGGCACGCUGACACGUAGGUGAAGUGAUUUACUCAUGGAGCUGAAGUCAGUCGAAGAUACCAGCUGGCUGCAACUGUUUAUUAAAAACACAGCACUGUGCAAACACGAAAGUGGACGUAUACGGUGUGACGCCUGCCCGGUGCCGGAAGGUUAAUUGAUGGGGUCAGCGCAAGCGAAGCUCCUGAUCGAAGCCCCGGUAAACGGCGGCCGUAACUAUAACGGUCCUAAGGUAGCGAAAUUCCUUGUCGGGUAAGUUCCGACCUGCACGAAUGGCGUAAUGAUGGCCAGGCUGUCUCCACCCGAGACUCAGUGAAAUUGAACUCGCUGUGAAGAUGCAGUGUACCCGCGGCAAGACGGAAAGACCCCGUGAACCUUUACUAUAGCUUGACACUGAACAUUGAGCCUUGAUGUGUAGGAUAGGUGGGAGGCUUUGAAGUGUGGACGCCAGUCUGCAUGGAGCCGACCUUGAAAUACCACCCUUUAAUGUUUGAUGUUCUAACGUGGACCCGUGAUCCGGGUUGCGGACAGUGUCUGGUGGGUAGUUUGACUGGGGCGGUCUCCUCCUAAAGAGUAACGGAGGAGCACGAAGGUUGGCUAAUCCUGGUCGGACAUCAGGAGGUUAGUGCAAUGGCAUAAGCCAGCUUGACUGCGAGCGUGACGGCGCGAGCAGGUGCGAAAGCAGGUCAUAGUGAUCCGGUGGUUCUGAAUGGAAGGGCCAUCGCUCAACGGAUAAAAGGUACUCCGGGGAUAACAGGCUGAUACCGCCCAAGAGUUCAUAUCGACGGCGGUGUUUGGCACCUCGAUGUCGGCUCAUCACAUCCUGGGGCUGAAGUAGGUCCCAAGGGUAUGGCUGUUCGCCAUUUAAAGUGGUACGCGAGCUGGGUUUAGAACGUCGUGAGACAGUUCGGUCCCUAUCUGCCGUGGGCGCUGGAGAACUGAGGGGGGCUGCUCCUAGUACGAGAGGACCGGAGUGGACGCAUCACUGGUGUUCGGGUUGUCAUGCCAAUGGCACU